AAGUCGUAACAAGGUCUCCGUUGGUGAACCAGCGGAGGGAUCAUUACAGAGUUGCAAAACUCCCUAAACCAUUGUGAACGUUACCUUUACCGUUGCUUCGGCGGGCGGCCCGGGUCCUGCCCGGCGCCCCUCGGCCCUCGCGGGCGCCCGCCGGAGGAAAACCAAACUAUUGCAUUGUAUGGCCUCUCUGAGUCUUCUGUACUGAAUAAGUCAAAACUUUCAACAACGGAUCUCUUGGUUCUGGCAUCGAUGAAGAACGCAGCGAAAUGCGAUAAGUAAUGUGAAUUGCAGAAUUCAGUGAAUCAUCGAAUCUUUGAACGCACAUUGCGCCCGCCAGUAUUCUGGCGGGCAUGCCUGUUCGAGCGUCAUUUCAACCAUCAAGCCCCCGGCUUGUGUUGGGGACCUGCGGCUGCCGCAGGCCCUGAAGACCAGUGGCGGGCUCGCUGUCACUCCGAGCGUAGUAGUUACAUCUCGCUCAGGGCGUGCUGCGGGUUCCGGCCGUUAAAAGCCUUAUUUUACCCAAGGUUGACCUCGGAUCAGGUAGGAAGACCCGCUGAACUUA
rnacentral:rRNA from 1 species